GGGCCCGCACAAGCGGUGGAGCAUGUGGUUUAAUUCGACGCAACGCGAAGAACCUUACCCAGGCUUGACAUGCAUUGGACGGGUGUGGAAACACACCUUCCCUUCGGGGCCGAUGCACAGGUGCUGCAUGGCUGUCGUCAGCUCGUGUCGUGAGAUGUUGGGUUAAGUCCCGCAACGAGCGCAACCCUUGCCCUUAGUUGCUAUCAGGUAAUGCUGAGCUCUCUAAGGGGACUGCCGGUGAUAAACCGGAGGAAGGUGGGGAUGAUGUCAAGUCCUCAUGGCCCUUACGCCUGGGGCUACACACGUGCUACAAUGGCCGGUACAAAGGGUUCCGAAGUCGCGAGAUAGAGGCAAUCCCAAAAAACCGGUCUCAGUUCGGAUUGCAGUCUGCAACUCGACUGCAUGAAGUUGGAAUCGCUAGUAAUCGCUGAUCAGCAGGCAGCGGUGAAUACGUUCCCGGGCCUU
rnacentral:rRNA from 1 species